GAGUGAGUGGCAGACGGGUGAGUAACGCGUGGAAACGUGCCUUUCUCUACGGAAUAGCCCUUGGAAACGAGGUGUAAUACCGUAUACGCCCUUAGGGGGAAAGAUUUAUCGGAGAAAGAUCGGUCCGCGUUAGAUUAGUUUGUUGGUGGGGUAAUGGCCUACCAAGACUACGAUCUAUAGCUGAUUUGAGAGGAUGAUCAGCCACACUGGAACUGAGACACGGUCCAGACUCCUACGGGAGGCAGCAGUGGGGAAUCUUGGACAAUGGGGGAAACCCUGAUCCAGCCAUGCCGCGUGAAUGAUGAAGGCCUUAGGGUUGUAAAAUUCUUUCACCGGGGAAGAUAAUGACGGUACCCGGAGAAGAAGCUCCGGCUAACUUCGUGCCAGCAGCCGCGGUAAUACGAAGGGAGCUAGCGUUGUUCGGAAUUACUGGGCGUAAAGCGCACGUAGGCGGAUUAGUAAGUAAGAGGUGAAAUCCCAGGGCUCAACCCUGGAACUGCCUUUUAAACUGCUAGUCUAGAGGAUAGGAGAGGUCAGUGGAAUACCGAGUGUAGAGGUGAAAUUCGUAGAUAUUCGGUGGAACACCAGUGGCGAAGGCGACUG
rnacentral:rRNA from 1 species